AGCAGGUGUAGGUGUCGCAAGCUUACUCAAAACAGAAGGUGAAUCAAGUGCAGAGCUAGAUGGCAGUUCCUUACCUCCCCUCGUAGUUGAGGGAAAAAUCUUGGUUCUUUGAUCUUUCAAGUUCUUCAUAGUGACCAGCAAAUAUAAAUCCCAAGUGACUCAAAGAAUAGAGCUAUGCUCCCCGGCAACGGCGCCAGAAAAUAGUCUUGAUAACCCACAAGUAUAGGGGAUUGCAACAGUUUUCGAG
rnacentral:rRNA from 1 species